GACGAACGCUGGCGGCGUGCUUAACACAUGCAAGUCGAGCGGUAAGGCCCUUUCGGGGGUACACGAGCGGCGAACGGGUGAGUAACACGUGGGUGACCUGCCCUCAGCUCUGGGAUAAGCCUGGGAAACUGGGUCUAAUACUGGAUAUGACUCCACGGUGCAUGUCGUGGGGUGGAAAGCCUUGUGCGGCUGAGGAUGGGCCCGCGGCCUAUCAGCUUGUUGGCGGGGUGAUGGCCUACCAAGGCGACGACGGGUAGCCGGCCUGAGAGGGCGACCGGCCACACUGGGACUGAGACACGGCCCAGACUCCUACGGGAGGCAGCAGUGGGGAAUCUUGCGCAAUGGGCGAAAGCCUGACGCAGCGACGCCGCGUGAGGGAUGACGGCCUGGUGU
rnacentral:rRNA from 1 species